GGAGGGAUGGCAGAGCGGUUGAAUGCACCGGUCUUGAAAACCGGCGUAGGUUAAUAGCCUACCCAGGGUUCGAAUCCCUGUCCCUCCACCA
rnacentral:tRNA from 18 species